rnacentral:rRNA from 1 species
AUGUGCAGAAUACUACUUAGUUACUUUGAGGAAAGUGGAGUGUCACACGCAGGUUGCGCCGUGAACAUGCUAGCAUGGCAUGACGCUGUAUGACUACGAGUCUUUUUGAACGGUUUCGGGACACGUGGUAAUGAUUGAUAUGAGGUGUUGGGGAUACUCAUAUUUGACAGUUAGAGGUGAAAUUCUUGGAUUUGUCAAAGAUGAACAAAUGCAAUAGCAUUUAUCAUGGAUGUUUCAUUUGAUCAAGAACGAAAGUUAGGGGAUCGAAGACGAUCAG